rnacentral:rRNA from 1 species
GGGUGGGAUCAUUCUAAUGUUAAAGCAUUGGAUUUCAUCAGAAUUUUGCAAUUAAGUGUGUUUGGGCUAGAGUAGUAUUGGGAUGGUAACUUCCCAAAAAGUCCUAGUGUUGCACCGU